UGAAUACGAGAUGCUACGGCGUCGAAGCAGUCUAUGUCAUACUUCCAAGAAAAGCUUGCACUGUCAUAAACAAAUAAUGCCUGUACCAUAACCGACACAGGUGGGUAGGUAGAGUAUACUAAGGGGCGCGAGAUAACUCUCUCUAAGGAACUCGGCAAAAUGACUCCGUAACUUCGGGAGAAGGAGUGCCUUAUUUAUAAGGUUGCAAUAACAAGAUCCAAGCAACUGUUUACCAAAAACACAGGUCUCCGCUAAGUCGUAAGACGAUGUAUGGGGGCUGACGCCUGCCCAGUGCCAGAAGGUUAAAGAAGUUGGUUAGCAUCCGCGAAGCUGGUAACUGAAGCCCUGGUGAACGGCGGCCGUAACCAUAACGGUCCUAAGGUAGCGAAAUUCCUUGUCGGGUAAGUUCCGACCCGCACGAAAGGCGUAAUGAUUUGGAUACUGUCUCGGAGAGGGGCUCGGUGAAAUAGACUUGUCUGUGAAGAUGCGGACUACCUGCACCAGGACAGAAAGACCCUAUGAAGCUUUACUGUAACCUGAAAUUGAAAUUGGACUUUACUUGCGCAGUAUAGGUGGGAGGCGUUGAGAAUAUUCUUGCGGGAUUAUUGGAGCCAUCAGUGAGAUACCACUCUUGUAAUGUUAGAUUUCUAACUUUGUAUCAUUAUCUGGUCAAAGAACAGUUUCAGGCGGGCAGUUUGACUGGGGCGGUCGCCUCCUAAACGGUAACGGAGGCGCACAAAGGUUUCCUCUGAACGGGUAGAAAUCGUAUCUAGAGUGUAAAGGCAUAAGGAAGCUUGACUGUGAGACCUACAAGUCGCGCAGGGACGAAAGUCGGUCUUAGUGAUCUGACGGUGCUGAGUGGAAAGGCCGUCACUCAACGGAUAAAAGUUACUCUAGGAUAACAGGCUGAUCUCCCCCAUGAGUUCACAUCGACGGGGAGGUUUGGCACCUCGAUGUCGGCUCAUCGCAUCCUGGGGCGGUAGUACGUCCCAAGGGUUGGGCUGUUCGCCCAUGAAAGCGGUACGCGAGCUGGGUUCAGAACGUCGUGAGACAGUUCGGUCCAUAUCCGGUGUAGGCGUUAGAAUAUUGAGAGGAGCCUUCUUUAGUACGAGAGGACCGAGAAGGACAUACCUCUGGUGUACCAGUUAUCGUGCCAACGGUAAACGCUGGGUAGCUAUGUGUGGAGUGGAUAACCGCUGAAAGCAUCUAAGUGGGAAGCCCACCUCAAGAUAAGUAUUCUC
rnacentral:rRNA from 1 species